GACGAACGCUGGCGGCGCGCUUAACACAUGCAAGUCAAACGGAAAGGCCCUGCUUUUGUGGGGUUCUCAAGUGGCGAACGGGUGAGUAACACGUGAGUAACCUGCUCUUGACUUUGGGAUAACUUCAGGUAACUGGGGCUAAUACCGGAUCGGAGCUCCUGCUGCAUGGUUGUGGUUGGAAAGUUUCGGCGGUUGGGGAUGGACUCGCGGCUUAUCAGCUUGUUGGUGAGGUAGUGGCUUACCAAGGCCUUGACGUGUAGCCGGCGUGAGAGGGUGACCGGCCACAUUGGGACUGAGAUACGUCCGGGACUCCUACGCGGGACAGCGGUGGGGAAUGUUACGCAAGGGGCUGAAGCCUGUUGCAGCAACGCCGCGUGCGGGAUGACUGCCUUCAUGUUGUAGACCGCUUUUGCCUGUAACGAAGCGUGAGUGACGAUAAUGGGUAGAGGAGCACGGGCUAACUACGUG
rnacentral:rRNA from 1 species